UACGUAGGGGGCGAGCGUUGCCCGAAGUUACUGGGCGUAAAGAGCGCGUAGGCGGGUCUUUAAGUGAGGGGUGAAAGGUUCGGGCUCAACCCGAACACUGCCUUUCAUACUGGGGACCUUGAGUGCGGGAGAGGCGAGUGGAAUGGUCGGUGUAGCGGUGAAAUGCGUAGAGAUAUGGAGGAACACCAGUGGCGAAGGCGACUUUCUGGUCUGUAACUGACACUGAGGCGCGAAAGCGUGGGGAGCAAACAGG
rnacentral:rRNA from 1 species